UACGGGGGGGGUAAGCGUUGUUCGGAAUCACUGGGCGUAAAGGGCUCGUAGGCGGCCAACUAAGUCAUACGUGAAAUCCCUCAGCUUAACUGGGGAACUGCGUGUGAUACUGGAUGGCUUGGAUUUGGGAGAGGGAUGCGGAAUUCCAGGUGUAGCGGUGAAAUGCGUAGAUAUCUGGAGGAGCACCGGUGGCGAAGGCGGCAUCCUGGACCAAUAUUGACGCUGAGGAGCGAAAGCCAGGGGAGCAAACGGG
rnacentral:rRNA from 1 species